rnacentral:lncRNA from 1 species
AAAACAUGUCUUUUUCAUUUGCCUAACUCUUUUGUAGGAAAGGCAUGAUCCCAUUGAUUCACCAAGUUCACAUCUAGGGUUUGAGACCCUCAUAAACAAAGAGCACAACCAUGGAUUGAUCCAAGAAUGGUUAUGAGCAUCAUAUAUGAGUCCCAAUGUUCUCUACAUGUUAUAUUGAUCAAGUUUUCUUCAAGAGUUUGAGGGUGAUUUGUCUUGGAAACCCUAGUUUGACUGGGUAUCUUGAGUAAC